UACGGAAGGCAGCAGUGGGGAAUAUUGCACAAUGGGCGCAAGCCUGAUGCAGCCAUGCCGCGUGUAUGAAGAAGGCCUUCGGGUUGUAAAGUACUUUCAGCGGGGAGGAAGGCGAUGCGGUUAAUAACCGCGUCGAUUGACGUUACCCGCAGAAGAAGCACCGGCUAACUCCGUGCCAGCAGCCGCGGUAAUACGGAGGGUGCAAGCGUUAAUCGGAAUUACUGGGCGUAAAGCGCACGCAGGCGGUCUGUUAAGUCAGAUGUGAAAUCCCCCGGGCUUAACCUGGGAACUGCAUUUUGAAACUGGCAGGCUUGAGUCUUGUAGAGGGGGUAGAAUUCCAGGUGUAGCGGUGAAAUGCGUAGAGAUCUGGAGGAAUACCGGUGGCGAAGGCGGCCCCUGGGACAAAGACUGACGCUCAGGGUGCGAAAGCGUGGGGAGCAAACGAGGGAUUAGGAUA
rnacentral:rRNA from 1 species